rnacentral:rRNA from 1 species
GAUGAACGCUGGCGGCGUGCUUAACACAUGCAAGUCGAACGGAAAGGCCCAAGCUUGCUUGGGUACUCGAGUGGCGAACGGGUGAGUAACACGUGGGGGAUCUGCCCUUCACUUCGGGAUAAGCCUGGGAAACUGGGUCUAAUACCGGAUAGGACCUCUUUUUGGAUGGUGUGGAGGAAAGUUUUGCGGUGUUGGAUGAGCUCGUGGCGUAUUAGCCUGUUGGUGGGGUAAUGGCCUACCAAGGCGUCGACGGGGAGCGGGCCUGAGAGGGUGCACGGACGCACUGGGCCUCUGCUACAGGCAGCAGUCCGGCGGGAGGCGGAAGUGGGGAAUAUUGGACAGUGGGAGCCAGCGUGAGGCAGCGAGGCCGCGUGGGGGUUGAAGGCUUUCGGGUUGUAAGCACAUUUGGCUAGGGAAGAAGCGUUUUUGUGACGGUACCUGGAGAAGAAGCCCCGGCUAACUACGUG